AGGGAGACAACACAAUGAUUUUGAUGCCUGAGUGCUUUUAUUCUUAGGCCGAAAUCCUGUCACCUUAGGUCGAUCGGUACCUCAGCUUUGAAGUUAAGGAUCAGCAGCAAUGUUGAUUGCUUGAUGGAGAUUUUCAGUUCCUAAACUUUGUCUAGGUCACACCCCAAAAGGGAUGAGACUCCUGGGCCAUUAGCUCAGGUGGUUAGAGCGCACCCCUGAUAAGGGUGAGGUCCCUGGUUCAAGUCCAGGAUGGCCCAUUCGGUGUUGGGGGUUUAGCUCAGUUGGUAGAGCGCCUGCUUUGCAAGCAGGAUGUCAGGAGUUCGAGUCUCCUAACCUCCACUGACCGAACUUGAUUCCCAUCUCCAAUUUUUUUGGAGUUGAGCUCGAUUGGAGUGUGAUUUAGAUGUGUCCGCUGGAUGACCCCAGCUUCCUGUCAUUCCAAGUUUUAGGUUGAUGCCUUGAAUUUGGUUGAUAAGAUGCUGGGCUCGGAUCAAAUGAUCAAGUAAUUGAUGAUUUGAUUUGAAGUUCUAGCAGAACCUUGACAACUGCAUAGGUGAAGUCUGGAAAAACAAAGCAUCUCAUGGAUGCAUUGUUUUGAAUCUAAUUUUCUGAAAGGAAGAUUAGAUCCAGAACGAUGAAAAUUCUUUUGAGCAAGAGCCGAGACUCUUGAACGUUCUUGGAAUCGUGUCGAGCGAAACCGAGUUUAAUUUUGUUUUAGGAGUUGGUGAAAACCAACGAUUAAAACUUAAGAAUCUGCUUUCAACGGUGGUAAGCGUUUAAGAGGUUAAUU
rnacentral:tRNA from 1 species